rnacentral:rRNA from 1 species
UACGGAGGGAGCUAGCGUUAUUCGGAAUUACUGGGCGUAAAGCGCACGUAGGCGGAUUGUUAAGUCAGGGGUGAAAUCCUGGAGCUCAACUCCAGAACUGCCUUUGAUACUGGCGAUCUCGAGUCCGGGAGAGGUGAGUGGAACUGCGAGUGUAGAGGUGAAAUUCGUAGAUAUUCGCAAGAACACCAGUGGCGAAGGCGGCUCACUGGCGCGGUACUGACGCUGAGGUGCGAAAGCGUGGGGAGCAAACAGG